GAUGAACGCUAGCUACAGGCUUAACACAUGCAAGUCGAGGGGAAACGACAUUGAAGCUUGCUUCGAUGGUCGUCGACCGGCGCACGGGUGAGUAACGCGUAUCCAACCUGCCUCUGACCAAGGGAUAACCCGUCGAAAGUCGGCCUAAUACCUUAUGCAGUCGUCGGAAGUCAUCUGAUGACGACGAAAGAUUUCAUCGGUGAGAGAUGGGGUUGCGUCUGAUUAGCUUGUUGGCGGGGUAAGGGCCCACCAAGGCAACGAACAGUAGGGGUUCUGAGCGGACCGUCCCCCACAUUGGAGCUGGGACACGGUCCAUACUCCUACGGGAGGCAGCAGUGAGGUACAUUGGGCAAUGGGCGAGAGCCUUAACCAGCCAAGUAGCGUGCAGGAUGACGGCCCUAUGGGUGGUAAACUGCUUUUAGGCGGGGAUAAAGUGAGGGACGUGUCCUUCAUUGCAGGUACCGCAUGAAUAAGGACCGGCUAAUUCCGUG
rnacentral:rRNA from 1 species